UGGGGAAUUUUGGACAAUGGGCGCAAGCCUGAUCCAGCAAUGCCGCGUGCAGGAUGAAGGCCUUCGGGUUGUAAACUGCUUUUGUACGGAGCGAAAAGGUCUGCCCUAAUACGGUGGGCUCAUGACGGUACGGUAAGAAUAAGCACCGGCUAACAACGUGCCAGCAGCCGCGGUAAGACGUAGGGUGCAAGCGGUAAUCGGAAUUACUGGGCGUAAAGCGUGCGCAGGCGGGUAUGCAAGACAGAGGAAAUCCCCGGGCUCAACCUGGGAACUGCAUUUGUGACUGCAUAGCUAGAGUCCGGUAGAGGGGGGUGGAAUUCCGCGUGUAGCAGUGAAAUCCGUAGAUCUGCGGAGGAACACCGAUGGCGAAGGCAAUCCCCUGGACCUGUACUGACGCUCAUGCACGAAAGCGUUGGGAGCAAACC
rnacentral:rRNA from 1 species